UCUCCGUUGGUGAACCAGCGGAGGGAUCAUUACCGAGUUUACAACUCCCAAACCCAAUGUGAACCAUACCAAACUGUUGCCUCGGCGGGGUCACGCCCCGGGUGCGUCGCAGCCCCGGAACCAGGCGCCCGCCGGAGGGACCAACCAAACUCUUUCUGUAGUCCCCUCGCGGACGUUAUUUUUACAGCUCUGAGCAAAAAUUCAAAAUGAAUCAAAACUUUCAACAACGGAUCUCUUGGUUCUGGCUCGAUGAAAACGCAGC
rnacentral:misc_RNA from 1 species